rnacentral:rRNA from 1 species
GAGCACUCUAGACGAACUGCCGUUGACAAAACGGAGGAAGGUGGGGAUGACGUCAAAUCAUCAUGCCCCUUAUGUUCUGGGCUACACACGUGCUACAAUGGCCGGUACAGACGGACGCAAAGCCGCGAGGUGGAGCAAAUCCUAAAAAGCCGGUCUCAGUUCGGAUUGCAGGCUGCAAUUCGCCUGCAUGAAGUCGGAAUCGCUAGUAGUCGCAGGUCAGCAUACUGCGGUGAAUACGUUCCCGGGCCUU